GUAGCAAUACAUUGGUGGCGACCGGCGCACGGGUGAGUAACGCGUAUGCAACCUACCUAUCAGAGGGGAAUAACCCGGCGAAAGUCGGACUAAUACCGCAUAAAACAGGGGUUCCACAUGGAAAUAUUUGUUAAAGAAUUAUCGCUGAUAGAUGGGCAUGCGUUCCAUUAGAUAGUUGGUGAGGUAACGGCUCACCAAGUCCACGAUGGAUAGGGGUUCUGAGAGGAAGGUCCCCCACACUGGUACUGAGACACGGACCAGACUCCUACGGGAGGCAGCAGUGAGGAAUAUUGGUCAAUGGGCGAGAGCCUGAACCAGCCAAGUCGCGUGAAGGAUGAAGGAUCUAUGGUUUGUAAACUUCUUUUAUAUGGGAAUAAAGUGAGGAACGUGUUCCUUUUUGUAUGUACCAUAUGAAUAAGCAUCGGCUAACUCCGUGCCAGCAGCCGCGGUAAUACGGAGGAUGCGAGCGUUAUCCGGAUUUAUUGGGUUUAAAGGGUGCGUAGGUGGUUAAUUAAGUCAGCGGUGAAAGUUUGUGGCUCAACCAUAAAAUUGCCGUUGAAACUGGUUGACUUGAGUAUAUUUGAGGUAGGCGGAAUGCGUGGUGUAGCGGUGAAAUGCAUAGAUAUCACGCAGAACUCCGAUUGCGAAGGCAGCUUACUAAACUAUAACUGACACUGAAGCACGAAAGCGUGGGGAUCAAACAGGAUUAGAUACCCUGGUAGUCCACGCAGUAAACGAUGAUUACUAGCUGUUUGCGAUACACAGUAAGCGGCACAGCGAAAGCGUUAAGUAAUCCACCUGGGGAGUACGCCGGCAGCGGUGA
rnacentral:rRNA from 1 species